ACCCGGGCUCCGCACGCCUGGCCUCCCUUCCCGACAUCGGAGGGAUGACUAACCACAGCUACAAGGGGGCUUCCGUCAUAGUAGUACACAUUUGGCGCCCUUGGAAGCUUCCAUGUGCCCCUCCCGCGUGUUCACUCGGAGGCGCCCAUAUGCCGUUUCCAUAGGCCGGGAACGAUCCCGGCUGGUAACAAUCCCGGCUUAUGGUGGGUGGGUGGGUGUGUUUGCCUCUGGGGGGGAUGGUCGGGCUUAGGGCUAGGUUCGGUAGGCGGGAGACCCCCGG
rnacentral:lncRNA from 1 species